CACUCCCCGCGGCGCGAGCGGCUGACUGCCCGGAGAGGAAACGACAUUCGGAGCUGCGCUCCCGCCCAGGCCGGCCCUGACGCGGGCCUCGUCAGCCAGUAACAGGGAGCAGAGGUGGGAGUUAGCGAGGCGACCACGAAAACGGUGAAGGUCAGAACCGACAGCCUCCUCCGAGAAGGGCAGGAGCUGGGAGGAGGCGGCAGCGGCGGCGGCAGAAACAGCAGCGGCGGCGGCGGCGGCAGCUGGGAGGAGGUGGUGACGGUGGCAACGGCAGCGUCGGGGACGAUGGCGCGACUCGUGGCAGUGUGCAGGGACGGGGAGGAGGAGUUCCCCUUCGAGAGGAGGCAGAUUCCCCUCUACAUAGACGACACCCUGACGAUGGUGAUGGAAUUUCCUGAUAAUGUGUUAAAUCUCGAUGGACAUCAGAAUAAUGGUGCACAGCUAAAGCAGUUCAUUCAGCGACAUGGUAUGCUUAAGCAACAGGAUCUAAGUAUUGCCAUGGUGGUGACAUCACGCGAAGUCCUGAGUGCACUUUCUCAGCUUGUCCCAUGUGUUGGUUGUCGUCGCAGUGUGGAGCGCCUCUUUUCCCAGCUUGUAGAGUCUGGAAAUCCUGCUCUUGAACCCCUAACAGUAGGGCCCAAGGGAGUCCUGUCUGUAACUAGAAGCUGCAUGACUGAUGCAAAGAAGCUUUAUACAUUAUUUUAUGUACAUGGGUCCAAACUAAAUGACAUGAUAGAUGCUAUUCCAAAAAGUAAGAAGAAUAAGAGAUGUCAGUUGCACUCCUUAGAUACGCACAAGCCAAAACCUUUGGGAGGUUGUUGGAUGGAUGUAUGGGAACUAAUGUCGCAGGAAUGCAGGGAUGAAGUAGUUUUAAUUGACUCGAGUUGUCUUUUAGAAACACUAGAAACAUAUCUGCGAAAACACAGGUUUUGCACUGAUUGCAAAAAUAAAGUCCUCCGAGCAUACAAUAUCCUUAUUGGUGAACUUGACUGCAGCAAAGAAAAGGGCUACUGUGCUGCACUUUAUGAAGGCUUGCGGUGCUGUCCACAUGAACGACACAUACAUGUUUGCUGUGAAACAGACUUCAUUGCACAUCUUUUGGGUCGUGCUGAGCCAGAGUUCGCAGGAGGGUAUGAGUAUGUAAUUUGCUAGAAUGGGCUAUCUAGCGCUUUGCUUCAUUUUAUUACUGAAAGUUUAUUUUCAUCACCUUCUGCCUCAGUACAUAUGAUAUAUGUAUAAAUUAAAGUGUGCCUGUAAAGAUUUUGCUUCUCUUUAAAGUAUGCAUUUCUUAAUUGACUGAAAAUAGGGAAAAACUGUUCUCUGGUGUUUGGUUCAGUCCUCUGCUAGUUCUUGCUUGAAGGGAGGCAGGCUUUUUUGGCUUUCAUUGUUACAGACUAUCAUUUUCAUUUGAAAAUGAUUAGAAGGGAUUUUUCUCCCUCUAUCCAUGCAUUAUCGUGUGUAAAUUUUAUUCACAAUAAUGGUUUUUGCAUAAGUCAGAUCUUUGCAGUAGGGGAUUAAGAAAUGCCUUAUUGAAUGUAAUUCAUGAACUGUGUAUAUUAUAUUAUUAUUACUACAUAGAAACCUAAAGUAGUAUCUCUGGCUUUGUUGUAAAAAUAAAAUCAGAUGAUGAUGUUAAUAGAAUAAAUCAAAUGCAUUUCCUUUUGUAUUUAGGGUAUCAACCCUCAUUUGAGUGCCUACUUUCUGCUAGAAUACAAAGGGCUUAAAGCCAAAGUUCUGUGAACACUUGUAAAGACUGGCCUGGUGAAGGACUCUUGCCCAUGAUGAAUCACUUUGGCAUUGCCUUUCUCCAUUCCUCCUCAAAACAAAAAACCUAAUGAAGGAAAAAAUGUUUUGCUAUAAUUGGAAAGUAAAAGGAACUGUUGUGUCUACUAUGAGCUGGACACUUCUAUGUGAUUGCAUUGUGCCCUAAAACCCAUCUUUUUAGAGCCAGUUCCUGAAUUACUUUAUUUUUAGCAAUACGAGGACUAAAUUCUACUUGCAUGUGUAUUUCUCAUUGGUUGUAGACAUGCAUGCUUGUAUAGCAACAUAUACGUUGAGUGUAAAUGUAUAACUGUCUUGUUACUAGGUAAGCACAUUGUGUUUAAAACCUGAACUUGCAACUGUGUUAUCCAUCUUUUACUGUUUCAGUUAAAGGUAUUAGUGUGUGAUUAUUCCCUUUUAUAGGCGAAGAGAAAGGCAUGCAAAGACAAUAGAUAUAGCUCAAGAAGAAGUUCUGACCUGCUUGGGAAUUCAUCUUUAUGAAAGACUGCAUCGAAUCUGGCAGAAACUACGGGCAGAAGAGCAGACAUGGCAGAUGCUUUUCUAUCUUGGUGUUGAUGCUUUACGCAAGAGUUUUGAGAUGACCGUGGAAAAAGUACAGGGUAUUAGCAGAUUGGAACAACUUUGUGAGGAAUUUUCAGAAGAGGAACGAGUAAGAGAACUCAAGCAAGAAAAGAAACGCCAAAAACGGAAGAAUAGACGAAAAAAUAAGUGUGUGUGUGAUAUUCCUACUCCCUUACAAACAGCAGAUGAAAAGGAAGUAAGCCAAGAGAAGGUAAUAUUUCUUAAUAUCAACUCUUAAGUGUGUAUGUAUUGCUUGUAGAUAGAAGUACAGGCCAGGUGUGGUGGCUCACGCCUGUAAUCCCAGCACUUUGGGAGGCCCAGGGUGGAGGUAUCACUUGAGCCUAGGAGUUUGGGACCAGCCUGGGCAAGAUAGUGAGAUCUCUAUCUCUAUUUAUUUUAUUUUAUUUUUUUAAUAAAAAUAAAAAGUACAGUCGUCCCUUGGUAUCUGUGGGGUUUGAUUCCAGGACUUCCUGUAGAUACCAAAAUCUGCAGAUGUGCAAGUCCCUGAUGUAAAAUGGUGUAAUAUUUGCAUAUAGUCUAUGCACAUCCUCCUUAUACUUUUAUUUCUGAGACAGGGUCUCACUCUGUCACCCGGACUGGAGUGCAGUGGCACAAUCAUGGCUUACUGCAGCGUUCAUCUCCCAGGCUCAUGUCAUCUUCCCACCUCAGCUUCCCAAGUAGCUGGAACUACAGGCUUACCCCACCAGGCCCAGCUAAUUUUUUGUAUUUUUUGUAGAGAUGGCGUUUUACCAUGUUGUUCAGGCUGGUCUCCAGCUUGUGGGCUCAAGCAAUUCUCCCACCUCGGCCUCCCAAAAUGCUACAAUUACAGGCAUGAACCACCGUGCCUGGCCUCUUGUAUUCUUAAAUUAUCUCUAAAUUACAAUACCUAAUGCAAUGUAAAAGCUAUGUAAGGCUGGGCAUGGUGGCUCACGCCUGUAAUCCCAGCUACUUGGGAGGCUGAGGCAUGAGAAUUUCUUGAACCCAGGAGGCAAAGGUUGCAGUGAGCCAAGAUCGCUCCACUGCAUUCCAGCCUGGGCGACAGAGUGAAACUCUCUCAAAAUAAAUAAAAACUGUUUAAAUAGUUGUUAUACUGUAUUGUUUAGAAAAUAAGGACAAGAAAAAAGUCUGUACAUGUUCAGUACAGAUGCAG
rnacentral:sRNA from 1 species